GCUCCGGUAUCCCAACCGGUAGAGGAACACGGCUCAGAACCGUGCCAGUGUGAGUUCAAAUCUCACUCGGAGCACCA
rnacentral:tRNA from 1 species